rnacentral:snRNA from 1 species
GUGCUUCCUCCAGCAGUACAUAUACUAAAAUUGGCAUGAUACCGAGAUUAGCAUGCCCACGGAUGUCAUGCAAAUUCAUGAAGUGUUCUAUAUGUUU